rnacentral:lncRNA from 1 species
CAGUGGAGAUCUCUGGCACACUGCAGGUGAGGUGCUUCCCCUUAUCCAAACAGUGGGAGGCCCUUGUAUCCUGUCCUCUACAUGCAAGAGCUGGGAAGACAUCCUGUGUGAAGGAGCUGGGUAGAGCCCAGCAGGACUGCAGGACCCUACAAGGACAGUCCUGAUCAGCUUCCCUGGGCAACUGGUUAUCCUGAGCAAUGAGGAUCUAGGGCCAUCCCAGCCAGGAUGUCCUCCAGACACCAAGGCUCCUGAGCCAGGGUGUGCUGUUACAAAGCCCAUGGCUAACUCACAUGGAUGGCACUGGAAGCAUAUGGGCGCCAGAUGGAGGAGGCAGUCAAAGGAUAAGCUUUGGCCAUCCCUGCUCUGACGUCUCAGGGAAGAAAAGCAGCACGGUAGACUAGGGGCUGAAGACGUGGUCCUGCACUUCUCACAACACCCCUGCUCAUCCCGGACAGAGUGCCUCAGAUCAUGCAUCCUCAGCUGGCGCACAGGAAACAGAGCUAGAGUCUAGGUAUAUUUGCUUGAUAAGCUGUAACUCCAGGGACUUUUUCCCUGACAUGGGAUGAGAUGGCUGCUGGACUUCCUCUGCUUGAUGGUCUCCCUUAGCUUCUGGGCCAGAGGGAGACUAGAAGGCCCACUGGGUGAUAGACAAGUAACCAAGGUGGUGACGGGCCAUGGACAGUUAUGCUCCAAGACAUUCCUCACACCUCUACGUAUACCUCACUGACAGGUGGAAACCCUAGCUCUACAAGGAAAGAGAGGCCCUGGCGGAACAUGGCAAGUCAUAUCUCGGGGUUAUUAAUAGGAAAGUAGACAAAAUAAUAUAGAUGUUUGGUAUCUGCCAGGCUCUAGUGCUAUUUAAGGCUUAUUAUAAAUAUAAAAGUUUGGUGUCUUUUAUGUGGGAAAUAAAUAAUCAAUGGUGGGGCAUAACAUCCACCCCCAAUUGAUAUUAAACACUAACCACAACAACCCACCACCACUAAUCUGGGCAUCAGUAGCACUUGCCACUGAAGGCGUCUGCAGCCUGGGCAUCAGCAGUGCCCUCACAGGAGGCUGCUCAUCCUUAGCACUACCUGGGUCUAAGGGGGACAGCAGUCAAAUGGCUGUUCAGGGUCCCACAGUAAGGUGUCUAAGGCUUGGAGAGUGGAGAUUAGUCUUCAGCCUGGCACCCUAGGCUUCUCUUACCACUCAACUAAGCCUCCCUAGCAGUCAGUCUUAGAUGCUAGCAGGGGGCUGCACUGCAUUGCCAGCCCCUCUGGUGCGAGCUGCCCCUCCCCAGCAGCCCCAGGAGGCUGUCUCCCAGCCUGAGCCCCUUCUCUGGAUGCUAAAUAAACAAAACCAUAUCGCCCACACUGUACCGGCAGCUCUCCACCAAGAAGCCCAGGGGUUUGCUAAUCAAGGAAGUGAUUGCUGCAGGGCUUGGCGUCGUGGUACACACCAGUCCAGCCAGUUUCUGCCUGCUGCUUUUCAUUUGGGUCACCUCUAAGAGUGUCAGGCCCUCUCCUUCUCAGCAUUUGCAGGUCAGUGUGUACCAAGGUUGGCUGAAUCCUCCAAAUGCUGGCAGUGAUGAGCUCUGCCCAUGAGACCUGCUUCAGCAGGUGGCCCACAAGGACAGCAGGGAGCCUUGGGUCCAAGGAAACUGCAGGCUGCAGGCCCACCAGCCUCCAGCAGUGCUUCUCUAAGACUGUGUCAUUUUUAUUUCCAAGGAAGACUUUUCUCAGUGUCCACAAAAGGAAGCAAAAUGGGACAUGUGACAGCACAGAGGGGACAUCUUAAUAAUGCCCAAAUUGUAAUUACAUUUCUUCGAGGUCCAAGCAGGCAAGCUUCCUUUAGUUCAUCUGCCUUCAAUAUCAAACACCAUUAAUGAGAUAAUAAGGCCUCUCAAUUAAUGAUUUGAGUGGUGAGUCUAAUUUUUUCCUUAAUGGCAGGAUUAAUUCAUAGGCAAAUGAGCGAGAGAUGCUGGCAAAGUUUUGAACAUUCAGCUGCCCUCCAGCUCACUGGUGGGCACAUUUCUUCUGAUGCAGACUUGGGUUGCCCUUCUGCCUAGGGAAAAGGCUCCUGGGGUCCAGGUGCCAACUUCACCCCACACGAGAGUUCUCUUAUAAAGGGAAGUGGGGAGGAAAGUGUACCUAUCUGAGGAAACCGCCCAGGUAAGGCCAUGUAGACCUGCAGAGAUACAUGGGACCGGAAUAACUGCAGCUGGCCAAGGCUGCUGCUGUAUGAGACAGGAUUCACUGACACAUGCCCAGGCAGAGGCUAUGCUCCAGGAGGCAUAGCUGAAGCUCUGCUGCCCUCCUGCCAGCCCCAGCCCUGAGCUUCAAAUGGAGAUGCACGGACCACAGUGAGGCAAUGCACAUAGGGGCCUGACAUACUUUAGGAAAGCUGUCCCCUACAUUACUCCAUAUGGUCACAGUCCCUUUCCAAGGAAGGCUGUCCCUCAGCUAUUCUCCAUAGGAAUAGUCACCCCUGAGGACUGAUUCCCAUCUACAAACUGCCCCAGUCUACAUAACUGUAGGAGGAGCAGAAAGGCCCUGCUGCCAAGGCGGUGACUGCUUCCACAGAAACUCUGGUAAAUAGUGAGUGUGGCUGUGCAGCUGCGGAGCCAGCUUCCUCCACAUGAGGGCUAAACUGAAUCCUGUCUGAGAGCCCAGAGAUUGGUGACGCAGACAAUGACAGCCAAUUGGGAACUGCCACUUAAGAGGACACACUUGCUUGGGACCAACGGGACUAGGGUGGAGGGUAUAAAGGGUGCUCCCUGAGAAUUAAUCAAAAGAGCUUUCUGCCGCAUUCUCACCGGCUCCUGGAGUCUGAGCAGUUGAUUCGCCCCUUCUCACCCACUGCCCCCAAGGGGACGCAGGGCAGGACUGAGGACUCAAGCAACACAUAACCACAGUCCCUUCCCAAGGAGGGCUGUCCCUUAAGCUACUCCACAGUCACAGUCACUUCCCAAGGAAGACUGUCCACAACCACAGUCACUUCCUACGUUUUUCAGUUCUAUUGUGGAGCUGAAAUUUCAACCAGACCCUAAAUAUGUCAGUGAUGAACAACACACAGGACAAUGGCCCCAUGAGAUUAUACCAUCCAGUGAUGCCAUAACCAUCUCAGCUUGUGCAACCACAUGGUGUGAGGAUCACACACUGAUGGAAUCACCUGUUCAUGGUAUUAAAUAUGCAUUAUCACUAAGCAAUUCAUUCUGGUGCCUGGCAUUUCAAAGUACCUGAAAUAGAAGUUAAAACCAGGAUCCACAGUCCAACCUGUCACUCAAGUGGCAGAGUCCUUGGCAUCACAUCAAGCACAGGUUCUGGGACCUCUGCAUGGCCAGGUAACAGCUGGUAUGGCUUUUGUCCCUUGGGGGCCAUUCUUAUUCAAACACCAUAUUCUGCUCCAUGGUCCCUACAGACUUGUCGCCACAUCAUUAUGCAAAAAUGCAUUCAGUCUAACUUCAAAAGUCCCCAUAGACUUUCAGUCUCAAGACUGCUUCAAAGUCUAAAGUCUCUGCCAAGACUCAAAGCAUUCUCUCAACUGUAACCCCUGUAAAAUCCUAAUCAGAAUGUGGACUGCAUACUUCCAACAUACAAUGGCAUAGAAUAUAUAUUGCCAUUCCAAAAGGGAGGACAUAAAGCACAAAGAGGAAAUACUGGACCAAAGCAAGACUGAAAACUAGCAAGACAAGCAUUCUGCUUCUCCAUGCCUGAUGCUAAAGUGCUCUUCAGAUCACCAACUCUUUUAGUUCUGUUGACUGCAACACAUUCUCUCUUGGGCUGGUACCACAUUCUGUUAGCAAUUCUCCUUGGCAGGUAACUCACAGCUUAGGAUCUCCUAACACAACCCAGGCUUCACUUUCACAGCUUCAGCGUGUGGGCGUCCACACAGGGGCACCCCUGACAUACACCUGGCCUCAGAGGCUUUCUUUAGCUGUGCAGGAAGAUUCUACAACCCUUUUCUUGUAUCUUUGACUCUAAUGAAGCCAAGACAAGGCAGAAGCUGCCAAAUUCUGAUGCUUGCUGGGAAUGGUACUUAGCCCCCUCCUUCAGUUAAAUGUGUACCAGCUUUCAAUUGCUGAUGGUUCCCUUCCCUGCUUAAGUUUUCCUUUAAUCUCUUUCACAAGUCCAAAGCUUAGCUGGGCUGGGUCUUGCCCUGAGGCCACCACUGCUUUUAUUUCUUUUGGCACCAGGAUUUUCUUUGAGUUUGUUUUUGAUUAUUUGGUUUUUGUUUGUUUGUUUGUUUGUUUUUUGUUUUUUUCCUUCUUGAGCACGGGACCUGGCUCCAGCAUCACCUUCCCUGGCACUACUUUUUUUCCUCACUCUGCAUAUUUUGUAUUUCUCCCUGGCCCACUUGCACCUUUACAUUGUAGAUCUGUAUAACAGUGGCUACUAAUAACCAUAUGACAAAGUCAAUACUAGGUUGUCUUGAAGUCUCCUCUGCCAACGCCAUUAAUCCAAAAAUACUUCAGGUAUAUAUUUUUUUAGGACAAGGACAAAAACUACUCACUUUCUUCACUAAAAUAGCAAAAGAAUAGUCUGAAGCCACCUACUAUUCUUCCCUCUAAAACUUCUUUACUGAACUGCCACAGUUCAGCCCUCAGUGCUGUCUUCCAUUUCAUACUAGGAUGGCCCAUUAAGUCCCACUUAGAGUAUCCAACCACUUUUCUAGUCCAAACUCCCAAAGUUUUCUAUACUCAUCCAACAAACAGCAUAAUCUGGCUUGCCAAAGCAAAAACCCCAUUCCUUGGUACCAGCUAUAGUCUUAGUCAUUUGUCUGUUGCUCUGAAGAGAUACCAUAACUAAGGCAACUCUUAUAAAAUGAAACAUUUAAUGGGGGUUUGCUAACAGUUUCAGAGGUUGGCCCAUCAUCAUCAUGGAGGGGAGCAUGGCAGCACUCAGACAGGUAUAGCUGAGUAGCUUUACAUCCUGAUUCACAGACAGAGAGAGAGAGAACCUGGGUUGGGCAUGAGAUUCUUG